rnacentral:rRNA from 1 species
GACGAACGCUGGCGGCGUGCCUAAUACAUGCAAGUAGAACGCUGAAGAGAGGAGCUUGCUCUUCUUGGAUGAGUUGCGAACGGGUGAGUAACGCGUAGGUAACCUGCCUUGUAGCGGGGGAUAACUAUUGGAAACGAUAGCUAAUACCGCAUAACAAUGGAUGACACAUGUCAUUUAUUUGAAAGGGGCAAUUGCUCCACUACAAGAUGGACCUGCGUUGUAUUAGCUAGUAGGUGAGGUAAUGGCUCACCUAGGCGACGAUACAUAGCCGACCUGAUAGGGUGAUCGGCCACACUGGGACUGACACACGGCCCAGACUCCUACGGGAGGCAGCAGUACGGAAUCUUCGGCAAUGGGGGCAACCCUGACCGAGCAACGCCGCGUGAGUGAAAAAGGUUUUCGGAUCUCAAAGCUCUGUUGAAAGUCAAGAACGGGUGUGAGAGUGGACAGUUCACACUGUGACGGUUGCUUACCAGAAAGGGACGGCUAACUACGUGCCAGCAGCCGCGGUAAUACCAAUGUCCCGAGCAUUGUCCGGAUUUAUUGGGCGUAAAGCGAGCGCAGGCGGUUUGAUAAGUCUGAAGUUAAGGCUGUGGCUCAACCAUAGUUCGCUUUGGAAACUGUCAAACUUGAGUGCAGAAGGGGAGAGUGGAAUUCCAUGUGUAGCGGUGAAAUGCGUAGAUAUAUGGAGGAACACCGGUGGCGAAAGCGGCUCUCUGGUCUGUAACUGACGCUGAGGCUCGAAAGCGUGGGGAGCGAACAGGAUUAGAUACCCUGGUAGUCCACGCCGUAAACGAUGAGUGCUAGGUGUUGGAUCCUUUCCGGGAUUCAGUGCCGCAGCUAACGCAUUAAGCACUCCGCCUGGGGAGUACGACCGCAAGGUUGAAACUCAAAGGAAUUGACGGGGGCCCGCACAAGCGGUGGAGCAUGUGGUUUAAUUCGAAGCAACGCGAAGAACCUUACCAGGUCUUGACAUCCCGAUGCUAUUUCUAGAGAUAGAAAGUUACUUCGGUACAUCGGUGACAGGUGGUGCAUGGUUGUCGUCAGCUCGUGUCGUGAGAUGUUGGGUUAAGUCCCGCAACGAGCGCAACCCCUAUUGUUAGUUGCCAUCAUUCAGUUGGGCACUCUAGCGAGACUGCCGGUAAUAAACCGGAGGAAGGUGGGGAUGACGUCAAAUCAUCAUGCCCCUUAUGACCUGGGCUACACACGUGCUACAAUGGUUGGUACAACGAGUUGCGAGUCGGUGACGGCGAGCUAAUCUCUUAAAGCCAAUCUCAGUUCGGAUUGUAGGCUGCAACUCGCCUACAUGAAGUCGGAAUCGCUAGUAAUCGCGGAUCAGCACGCCGCGGUGAAUACGUUCCCGGGCCU